GAUGAACGCUAGCGGCAGGCCUAAUACAUGCAAGUCGAACGGGGUGAUUCAGCAAUGGAUCAUUCAGUGGCGCACGGGUGCGUAACGCGUAUGCAACCUACCUUAAACUGGGGGAUAGCCUUCCGAAAGGGAGAUUAAUACCGCAUAAUACUAUUUGAUGGCAUCUGAAGAUAGUUAAAGAUUUAUUGGUUUAAGAUGGGCAUGCGUGCCAUUAGCUAGUUGGUGAGGUAACGGCUCACCAAGGCUACGAUGGCUAGGGGUUCUGAGAGGAUGAUCCCCCACACUGGUACUGAGAUACGGACCAGACUCCUACGGGAGGCAGCAGUAGGGAAUAUUGGGCAAUGGACGCAAGUCUGACCCAGCCAUGCCGCGUGCAGGAUGAAGGCCUUCUGGGUUGUAAACUGCUUUUAUCUAGGAAGAAAACGCCCAUGCGUGGGAAACUGACGGUACUAGAUGAAUAAGCACCGGCUAACUCCGUGCCAGCAGCCGCGGUAAUACGGAGGGUGCAAGCGUUGUCCGGAUUUAUUGGGUUUAAAGGGUGCGUAGGCGGCCCGGUAAGUCAGUGGUGAAAGCCUCCAGCUCAACUGGAGAACUGCCAUUGAUACUGCCGGGCUUGAGUACAGACGAGGUUGGCGGAAUUGAUUGUGUAGCGGUGAAAUGCAUAGAUACAAUCAAGAACUCCGAUUGCGUAGGCAGCUAACUAGGCUGUAACUGACGCUGAGGCACGAAAGCGUGGGGAGCGAACAGGAUUAGAUACCCUGGUAGUCCACGCCGUAAACGAUGAUUACUCGAUGUUGGCGAUAAACUGUCAGCGUCUUAGCGAAAGCGUUAAGUAAUCCACCUGGGGAGUACGCCCGCAAGGGUGAAACUCAAAGGAAUUGACGGGGCCCGCACAAGCGGUGGAGCAUGUGGUUUAAUUCGAUGAUACGCGAGGAACCUUACCUAGGCUAGAAUGCGCGUGACCGGUCCAGAGAUGGACCUUUCCUUCGGGACACAAAGCAAGGUGCUGCAUGGCCGUCGUCAGCUCGUGCCGUGAGGUGUUGGGUUAAGUCCCGCAACGAGCGCAACCCCCAUCUUUAGUUGCCAGCACAUUAUGGUGGGGACUCUAAAGAGACUGCCUGCGCAAGCAGUGAGGAAGGUGGGGAUGACGUCUGGUCAUCAUGGCCCUUACGCCUAGGGCUACACACGUGCUACAAUGGGCGGUACAGAGGGUUGCUACCUGGUGACAGGAUGCCAAUCUCAAAAAGCCGCUCUCAGUUCGGAUCGAAGUCUGCAACUCGACUUCGUGAAGCUGGAAUCGCUAGUAAUCGCGUAUCAGCAAUGACGCGGUGAAUACGUUCCCGGGCCU
rnacentral:rRNA from 1 species